rnacentral:ncRNA from 1 species
UAUUCUGGCUUAAAAUUUUAAUUUAUGAGCAAAUUAUAUGCUAAGUUUAUUGUUUUUGGAGUUUGUUAUAGAGUAAUAAACUAUUAAAUUUAAUGUUAAUUUAUGCAAUAUAGAGAAUUAAAUAUAAAAGAAAUUUUGAUUUAGGGAUUCAUAAAAGUAUUGAUAAAAUUUGUGCCAGCAAUUGCGGUUACACAGAUAAUGCGAUUAAAUUUUUUCAGUGAGUAAUAUAUUUGUUUAUUGAUUAUUUAAAUUUAAAUUUAUUAGGUGAAAUUAGUAAGUUUAAUUUAAAUUGUUUAAAUAAGUAAUAAGGUUAUGAGGUUUUUGUAUUAAACUAGGAUUAGAUACCCUAUUAUUGAAAAUGCAAAUUAUUAUGCUUGAGUAGUAGUAGUUAUGUUCUUGAAAUUCAAAGAAUCUGGCGGUAUUUUAGUCUAUUCAGAGGAACCUGUCCUAUAAUUGAUAAUCCACGAUUAAUUGUACUUGUUUUUAGUUUGUAUAUCGUCGUAGGUUGAAUGUUUUAGAAGAAAAUUGAACAUUCAAGAUUUAUAAUAAUAAAGUAAAUCAGAUCAAGAUACAGCGUAUAGAUAAGAAGAGAUGGGUUACAAUAAAUUUAUUUAGAUGGUUAUUAUAUUUAACAGUAUUUUAUAAAGUGGAUUUGAUAGUAAUAAAGUUAAGUUAAAUUUUAUGAUUUUAGCUCUAAAAUAUGUACAUAUCGCCCGUCGCUCCUUCUUUAAAGAUGGAUAAGUCGUAACAUAGUAGGUGUACUGGAAAGUGUACCUAGAAUGU